UUGAAACAUUUAACCCUAAAAGUCGCGCAUUCUUCAUCAUCAGCCGCUUUCACCUUCAUCUCGCUGUUCUACUGGUUUACAGCAGAAAUUCCGGCAGAGGCGUCGGAAUUGGCCGCCGGAGGUCGCUAUACGGUCGAUAUGUGGUCGAUAAGCGCCAACAGAUGAAGGAAGCAGCAAACAAGAAGACUACCUAAAGACCAAAUGCAGCUGCUUAGCAAUAUCAUAGCACAAUUAAAACGGAGUGGUCGUUAGCUCUUCAUUUAAGUGAUCUUUUUGUCAUUUCAUUGAGAAAGAUUCACUAAAUCUUUGUUCUUGUUAUACACUCUGUUGGUAGCCUUGUUUGAAUAUAUUUUUUUUAAUGGGUCAAGCGGGUAAGAUAAAAAAAUAGAUUAAGGCUUGGCAAACGGAUCGUGUUGGGUGGGUUUUGCAAACGUCGUGCAGCCGAAGCCGCUGUUGCGUGCGUCAUGCCGCUGCUGCUGCGUGCGCCGUGCAGCCGAAGACGCUGUUGCAUGCGUCGUGCAAUCGGGUAUUUUAGGCAUCUGAACACGACCCCAUUGGUACCCCUUACCCUCAUUGACUUUAAAUGACGUUAAUUUCAAUUUUAA
rnacentral:lncRNA from 1 species